rnacentral:rRNA from 1 species
AUUGAACGCUGGCGGCAGGCCUAACACAUGCAAGUCGAACGAGUGGCGGACGGGUGAGUAAUGUCUGGGAAACUGCCUGAUAGAGGGGGAUAUCUACUGGAAACGGUAGCUAAUACCGCAUACCAUCAGAUGUACCCAUAUGGGAUUAGCUAGUGGGUGGGGUAAAGGCUCACCAAGGCGACGAUCCCUAGCUGGUCUGAGAGGAUGACCAGCCACACUGGAACUGAGACACGGUCCAGACUCCUACGGGAGGCAGCAGUGGGGAAUAUUGCACAAUGGGCGCAAGCCUGAUACAGCCAUGCCGCGUGUAUGAAGAAGGCCUUAGGGUUGUAAAGUACUUUCAGCGGGGAGGCGUUACCCGCAGAAGAAGCACCGGCUAACUCCGUGCCAGCAGCCGCGGUAAUAC